rnacentral:tmRNA from 1 species
AGUCUUGAAAAAUUUUUGAUUUUCGACAUAAUGAGGGCGUCUUGUUUUCAGGACUAUAGUGAUAAACGCGCAUGGAAUAAGCGGAUCGGACCCGGGGGCGGUACCCGGCGGCUCCACCAAAAAUAUGAGGGGCCGAAAUAGGAUCGACGAACGUCAAAAGAUGUUAGCUUUUACUCGGCGGGAUGGCCACCGAUAUCGGCGCAAAACGUAUAGUUGCAAAUGACAAUUAUGCUCCGGUAGC